AGCUCCAAUAGCGUAUAUUAAAGUUGUUGCAGUUAAAAAGCUCGUAGUUGGAUUUCUGGUCGGGUGACCUAACCCUCAAGCUGAGUGCGUAAGGCCGCCCGUCCAUCCUUCUGUUAACUCCUAAGCCUUUUACGGGUUUUUGAGGGCUCAGAUAUUUUACCUUGAGAAAAUUAGAGUGUUUCAGGCAGGCUAGCGCCGGAAUACAUUAGCAUGGAAUAAUAGAAUAGGACUUUUGCCUCUUCUGUUGGUCUGAGGGGUUCAAGUAAUGAUUAAUAGGGAUAGUUGGGGGCAUUAGUACUUAACUGUCAGAGGUGAAAUUCUCGGAUUUGUUAAAGACUAACUUAUGCGAAAGCAUUUGCCAAGGAUGUUUUCA
rnacentral:rRNA from 1 species